rnacentral:rRNA from 1 species
UGGGGAAUAUUGCACAAUGGGCGCAAGCCUGAUGCAGCCAUGCCGCGUGUGUGAAGAAGGCCUUCGGGUUGUAAAGCACUUUCAGCGAGGAGGAAGGUGGUGAGCUUAAUACGCUCAUCAAUUGACGUUACUCGCAGAAGAAGCACCGGCUAACUCCGUGCCAGCAGCCGCGGUAAUACGGAGGGUGCAAGCGUUAAUCGGAAUUACUGGGCGUAAAGCGCACGCAGGCGGUUUGUUAAGUCAGAUGUGAAAUCCCCGGGCUCAACCUGGGAACUGCAUUUGAAACUGGCAAGCUAGAGUCUCGUAGAGGGGGGUAGAAUUCCAGGUGUAGCGGUGAAAUGCGUAGAGAUCUGGAGGAAUACCGGUGGCGAAGGCGGCCCCCUGGACGAAGACUGACGCUCAGGUGCGAAAGCGUGGGGCAGCAAACAGGAUUAGAUACCCUGGUAGUCCACGCUGUAAAACGAUGUCGAUUUUGGAGGUUGUGCCCUUGAGGCGUGGCUUCCGGAGCUAACGCGUUAAAUCGACCGCCUGGGGAGUACGGCCGCAAGGUUAAAACUCAAAUGAAUUGCGGGGUCAUAGCUGUUCC